GACGAACGCUGGCGGCGUGCUUAACACAUGCAAGUCGAACGGAAAGGCCCCUUUGGGGGUACUCGAGUGGCGAACGGGUGAGUAACACGUGAGUAACCUGCCCUUGACUUCGGGAUAACUUCAGGAAACUGGGGCUAAUACCGGAUAGGAAUCCUUGCUGCAUGGUGGGGGUUGGAAAGCUUCGGCGGCUUUGGAUGGACUCGCGGCUUAUCAGCUUGUUGGUGGGGUAGUGGCUUACCAAGGCUUUGACGGGUAGCCGGCCUGAGAGGGCGACCGGCCACAGUGGGGCUGAGAUACGGCCCAGACUCCUACGGGGGGGAGCAGUGGGGAAUAUUGCACAAUGGGCGGAAGCCUGAUGCAGCAACGCCGCGUGCGGGAUGACGGCCUUCGGGUUGUAAACCGCUUUCAGCAGGGGCGAAGCUUGUGGUGACGGUACCUGCAGAAGAAGCACCGGCUAACUACGUG
rnacentral:rRNA from 1 species